AUGUAUAUCUAUGUGGUAGCAACCAUCAUUGCCUUAUCAGGACAUUGUGGAGGAGAUUCUGUGACACAGCUGCAAUCCACUCUGACAGUGAAUGAAGGGGAGAAUGUUUAUAUGCAGUGCAAUUAUACAGCUACAAGCACCAGCGAUCCCUAUCUGUUCUGGUACCGUCACUAUCCCAAUAAAGCUCCAGAAUAUAUCCUAAGAACAGACACCAGCAACAAGUUCCCGGACCACGCGGACUUCGCAGAAGGACGUUUCUCAACGAAUGUGUCUAAAGGGGAGAGAACCGUCCCAUUAAAUAUAUCGCAAAUGAGAGUUACAGACUCCGCGGGGUAUUCCUGUGCACUGAGCUCCACAGAGGCACAGAUCAGCGAUUCCGCCCUACAAGAACUGCCUGUAGCUAAAUGUUUAUAG